GACGAACGCUGGCGGUAUGCUUAACACAUGCAAGUCGAACGAGAAGUUUUUUAUUGAACCUUCGGGGGAUAUAAGAGACAGACAGUGGCGAACGGGUGAGUAACGCGUGGGCAACCUACCUAUCGGAGCGGGAUAGCCUCGAGAAAUCGGGAGUAAAACCGCAUAACACGGAUAUAUCGCAUGAUGAAUCCGUCAAAACUCCGGUGCCGAUAGAUGGGCCCGCGUCUGAUUAGCUAGUUGGUAAGGUAAGGGCUUACCAAGGCAACGAUCAGUAGCCGGUCUGAGAGGGCGAACGGCCACACUGGAACUGAGACACGGUCCAGACUCCUACGGGAGGCAGCAGUGGGGAAUAUUGCGCAAUGGGGGCAACCCUGACGCAGCAAUACCGCGUGAGUGAAGAAGGUUUUCGGAUCGUAAAGCUCUGUUAUUGGGGAAGAAG
rnacentral:rRNA from 1 species